CAUAGCUAACGAAUUAUCAAUGCUGAUUUUGGGCGUUGCUGUAAACAUCGGUAAGUUGAUUGCUUUAUUCGAGGAUGACCUCCUGUGAAAUGAUCUUUAUCUUUGUACGACAAGUAAGUCUGUUUUAAAAAUCUUAUUUG